rnacentral:rRNA from 1 species
GACGAACGCUGGCGGCGCGCCUAACACAUGCAAGUCGAACGAGCGAGAGGAGGUUUACUUUCUCAAGCGAGUGGCGAACGGGUGAGUAACGCGUGAGGAACCUGCCUCAAAGAGGGGGACAACAGUUGGAAACGACUGCUAAUACCGCAUAAGCCCACGACCCGGCAUCGGGUAGAGGGAAAAGGAGCAAUCCGCUUUGAGAUGGCCUCGCGUCCGAUUAGCUAGUUGGUGAGGUAAUGGCCCACCAAGGCGACGAUCGGUAGCCGGACUGAGAGGUUGAACGGCCACAGUGGGACUGAGACGCGGCCCAGACUCCUACGGGAGGCAGCAGUGGGGAAUAUUGCACAAUGGGGGAAACCCUGAUGCAGCGACGCCGCGUGGAGGAAGAAGGUCUUCGGAUUGUAAACUCCUGUUGUUGAGGAAGAUAAUGACGGUACUCAACAAGGAAGUGACGGCUAACUACGUG